GACCAGGUUCGGUUAGAGCUCAUCUUCUUCUCGUUGAAUCCCUGAACUUAAAGUUGUGGCACCAUGGAGAGAAUGGGAAAUCCUAGGCAGGGAAGACGCUGUUGAGUAUGCCAAGAAGCAUGACGUUCCUGUCUAUUUACAGCAGGGACAGGAAACCUCUGGCACCUUAGUCAUGAGGGUGAUAUAUUGGAAGAUCUAGCAAACGAGCGGAAGAAACAUAUGUAUAUGAUGAGUGUAGAUCCCGAAGAUGCUCCUGAUCAGCCUGAAUAUAUUGAGAUCGGGACAGAAUGUGGACUCCUCGUGGCACUCAACGGGAAAGGCUCUCUUUCUCUCUCCUGCUGGCUGCUACCCUCCUCUCUGAGCUAAACACAAUAGUACGAAUCAACAUGGUGGAGAAUCGUUUGUUUGGGAUGAAAUCAGGAGGUGUAUAUGAGACCCCAGGAGGCACCAUCCUCUUUGGAGCUGUACAAGAACUAGAGUCCCUCACUCUAGACAGAGAGAGCAUUCAGUUGAAAGACUCAUUAGCACUGAAACACCAGGAGGCACCAUCCUCGUUACAAUUUUCUCAUCGGCCUUGCAGCUCCAAGUCAAUCUGCAGCUAGUUACAAGAUACAGAGAGAAUAUAUAUAUAUGUUAAAACUAUCUUUGAUGGGAGCACAACACUAAAAACACUUUGUGUGACAACCAUGAGAAAUUGAAUA